UAAAACAUUGGCAACCCUAUGUUGGUCC
rnacentral:piRNA from 1 species